AGAGUUUGAUCCUGGCCCAGAACGAACGUUGGCGGCGUGGAUUAGGCAUGCAAGUCGAACGAGAAAGGUUCCUUCGGGGACCUAGUACAGUGGCGAAAGGGGGAGUAAUACAUAGACAACUUACCCCCGAGACGGGGACAACCACUCGAAAGGGUGGCUAAUACCCGAUACUGCCUGGAGUCGGUGGAUUCCAGGUGAAAGAAGGCCUCUGUUUCAAGCUUUCACUCGAGGAGGGGUUUAUGUCCUAUUAGCUUGUUGGUGAGGUAACGGCUCACCAAGGCAACGAUGGGUAGCCGACCUGAGAGGGUGACCGGCCACACUGGGACUGAGACACUGCCCAGACUCCUACGGGAGGCUGCAGUCGAGAAUCUUCCGCAAUGCGCGCAAGCGUGACGGAGCGACGCCGCGUGGGCGAUGAAGGCCUUCGGGUUGUAAAACCCUGUCACCUAUUAUGAACAGCGGGUGGUGAAUAUCCAGCCCGUUUGACGGCAGUAGAUGAGGAAGCACCGGCUAAAUACGUGCCAGCAGCCGCGGUAAUACGUAUGGUGCAAACGUUGUUCGGAAUUACUGGGCAUAAAGGGCGUGUAGGCGGUUUGGUAAGUCUGUAUGUGAAAUCCCUCGGCUCAACCGAGGAACUGCAUCGGAUACUGCCGAACUAGAGUGCAAGAGGGGAGAGUGGAAUUCCUGGUGGAGCGGUGAAAUGCGUAGAUAUCAGGAGGAACGCCGGUGGCGAAAGCGACUCUCUGGCCUGCAACUGACGCUGAGGCGCGAAAGCUAGGGGAGCAAACGGGAUUAGAUACCCCGGUAGUCCUAGCCCUAAACGAUGAGCACUAGGUAGAGGAAGUUCCGAUGCUUUCUCUGCUGUCGCUAAUGUUUUAAGUGCUCCGCCUGGGGAGUAUGGUCGCAAGGCUAAAACUCAAAGGAAUUGACGGGGGCUCACACAAGCGGUGGAGCAUGUUGUUCAAUUCGAAGCAACGCGAAGAACCUUACCCGGGUUUGACAUGCUUGGGACCGUCUGCGAAAACAGGCUUUCUCUUCGGAGGGCGAUACACAGGUGGUGCAUGGCUGUCGUCAGCUCGUGUCGUGAGAUGUUGGGUUAAGUCCCGCAACGAGCGCAACCCUCGUCCUAUGUUGCCAGCACGUAAUGGUGGGGACUCGUAGGAGACUGCCGGGGUCAAGUCGGAGGAAGGUGGGGACGACGUCAAGUCAUCAUGCCCCUUAUAUCCAGGGCUGCAAACAUGCUACAAUGGCCGAUACAAAGGGCUGCGAAACCGCGAGGUCAAGCGAAUCCCAUAAAGUCGGUCUCAGUUCGGAUUGGAGUCUGCAACUCGACUCCAUGAAGCUGGAGUCGCUAGUAAUCCCGGAUCAGCAACGCCGGGGUGAAUACGUUCCCGGGCCUUGUACACACCGCCCGUCACACCACGAAAGUUGGCAACACCCGAAGUCAGUGGCCCAACCCCUUGGGGAGGGAGCUGCCGAAGGUGGGGUUAGCGAUUGGGGUGAAGUCGUAACAAGGUAGCC
rnacentral:rRNA from 1 species